UACGGAGGGUGCAAGCGUUGUCCGGAUUUAUUGGGUUUAAAGGGUGCGUAGGUGGCCCGUUAAGUCCGGGGUGAAAGCCCACUGCUCAACAGUGGAACUGCCAUGGAUACUGAUGGGCUUGAGUACAGACGAGGUAGGCGGAAUGGAUGCUGUAGCGGUGAAAUGCAUAGAUAGCAUCCAGAACCCCGAUUGCGUAGGCAGCUUACUAGGCUGUAACUGACGCUGAGGCACGAAAGCGUGGGGAGCGAACAGG
rnacentral:rRNA from 1 species